GACGAACGCUGGCGGCGUGCUUAACACAUGCAAGUCGAACGGUGAAGCUCCAGCUUGCUGGAGUGGAUCAGUGGCGAACGGGUGAGUAACACGUGAGCAACCUGCCCCUGACUCUGAAUAAGCGCUGGAAACGGCGUCUAAUACUGGAUACGAGAAGGGUCCGCAUGGGCACUUUCUGGAAAGUUUUUCGGUUGGGGAUGGGCUCGCGGCCUAUCAGCUUGUUGGUGAGGUAAUGGCUCACCAAGGCGACGACGGGUAGCCGGCCUGAGAGGGCGACCGGCCACACUGGGACUGAGACACGGCCCAGACUCCUACGGGAGGCAGCAGUGGGGAAUAUUGCACAAUGGGCGAAAGCCUGAUGCAGCGACGCCGCGUGAGGGAUGACGGCCUUCGGGUUGUAAACCUCUUUCAGCAGGGAAGAAGCGAAAGUGACGGUACCUGCAGAAGAAGCACCGGCUAACUACGAG
rnacentral:rRNA from 1 species